CGGAAUCAAACGAUUCUGUAAUUGGAAUGAACUAAGCUUAAAACCCUUUAUGAGUAACAAUUGGAGGGCAAGUCUGGUGCCAGCAGCCGCGGUAAUUCCAGCUCCAAUAGCGUAUAUUAAAGUUGUUGCAGUUAAAAAGCUCGUAGUUGGACUUCGAUUAAUAUAUUAUUUGUCGCCCCCGAGUGGCAAUUAUUAUUUAUUAAUCUUCCCCCCCCUGCAACCGCGUGGGGGAUUUUACUUUGAAAAAAUUAAAGUGCUUAAAGCAGGCUAUUGCCGUGAAUACUCCAGCAUGGAAUAAUAAAAAAUGACUUUCAUUUUUCUUAUUGGUUCUAAAAUGAAAGUAAUGAUUAAUAGGAACAGUUGGGGGCAUUUGUAUUCAACAGUCAGAGGUGAAAUUCUUAAAUUUGUUGAAAACAAACUACUGCGAAAGCAUUUGCCAAGGAUGUUUUCAUUAAUCAAGAACGAAAGUUAGGGGAUCGAAAACGAUCAAAUACCGUCGUAAUCUUAACCAUAAACUAUGCCGACUAAAGAUUGGAGGUUGUUCCUAUACUCCUUA
rnacentral:rRNA from 1 species